rnacentral:misc_RNA from 1 species
AACGCAAAUUGCACUUUCUGGUAUUCCGGAAAGUAUGCCUGUUUGAGGGUCAGUUAAAUAAAAAUCGGUGUUGUUGCUACCCGUAGUGGUGUUAAUACAUCGGAAUUGAGUUGUCUUUACCUUUUUUGGUUAAGUGACUUAAAAUUAUGUACGACUUUUGAACGUGUUUAAAUUAUUUACGUAUGUUCAUAAUAUCAACUAUAUUAGGUGCGGUCAUCCUUAUGAUUCACAUCUAUAAUUUUUCAUUAUUUGACCUCAAAUCAGGUAAGAGUACCCGCUGAACUUAA